GCUGGGCGCAGUGGCACACCCCUGUAAUCCCAGCUGCUUGGGAGGCUGAGGCAGGAGGAUCGCAAAUUUAAAGUCAGCCUCAGCAAAAGUGAGGCAGGUGCUAAGCAACUCAGUGAGACCCUGUCUCUA
rnacentral:sRNA from 1 species